CGACAGGCCAUCACCACAGUGAGCUUCCUUAUAUGUCAACUAAUCUUCCUACUAGUGCCUUUCCAAGAGAUGCUCACUGCAUCCCUAAUGGCGUUCUCAAAGGAGUCUUAUCAGAUACAGAAUGAACCACAAGACCCACCUCACUAUUAUUUAUAGCAUAAACCAGCCAGAUGUCGCAGAUACGAUACGAAGCACAAAAUUUUCCCCGAUAAUGAGGCACAUUGUUUCUAUUCACUAUGCUAGUUAUUUUGAACCAGCAUGAAAAUAUCAAGAGCCUUUAGACUAACAUGUGUGCAUCAGUAUAUAAUUUGUGAUACAUGUUUGCUUCACUUUUUGUGAUGGGAGGUAGAAAAUUUAUUACUGGAUUUGUUUUGCCUCUCACCUUUAUUGUUUUACUGUUUCGCUUGAAAUUAUUGUGCAGUGUUUUGUGGCAUUUGCACCCCUUAUAAAGAUGCUUCAGCUGAGAUUUUGUAAAUAACAAAAAAGGUAAAAUACCGUGACUGGAACGAUACACAAAUAACCCGCACAUAGAAGAGAGGAGCUUAUGACAUGGUGUAAAUGGUCCAAGUCGGAGCGAAACUUCGCUUCGACUUGGACCAUUUCCUCUCUUCUAUGUGCGGGUUAUUUGUGAGAUUUUGUAGUGUAAUUCACUGGUAAGUGUAUUUAGGUAUAGUUACACAAUUUUGGAUGAAUUAUAAUUGUGUUACAUGGUAAUAUGUGCCAAAAUACAUAGGAUAACCUCAAAGUCAAAAGUGACUUAUUGCUAUUGAGAUCCUUGUAACAGCUAAGUAAUAGCCUAUUAGACUAAUAACCCCUCACAUACGAUACAAACUUAUGACGACGUUUCGGUCCGAUUUGGUAACUAAUGAUCCAAGUCGGACCGAAACGUCGUCAUAAGUUUCAUUCUCGUGUGUGCGGGUUGUGCAUUGUUCCAGUCACGGUAUUUUGCCUUUUUACUCUUUAAUAACCUAUUAGAUACAGUAAAAACAGCAAUGAUAAUUAACUAUAUAGAAAAUAAAUUGAGUAAAUCAAAUACGUGAAAAUGAAUCAGAUUAAAAAUAAGCAAAAUUAAGUGAGACACAUAAAAAUUAAUUACACGAUCAUUGAAAAGAAAAAUUACCAGCUGAACAUGAGAGUUGCACGAAUGUUACAUGUAACUAUACAAGAAAGUCGCUUUCCUACCUCUCUGUACCUUCAAUCAACGAGUAUUUUUUAGCUCUCUUCCUAAACUAGUUUAUACUGAGAUUGGCCUUGACAAACUCUAGCAUCUCUGACUUGAAUGAGCGUCUGUAUUUACUUCACUGUUACCAAAUAGUCAGUAACUGGGAGGCCUGGUGAUGGACCGGGCCGCGGGGGCGUUGACCCCAGAAAUUCCCUCCGGGUAAAAAUGAGGGAAUAUCUGUUGGUUGCUAAUAAUCAUAAGGUUUAUACAUAAUAAAGUCAUCAAAUAUUAAAAAUAA